AAUCAACGCUGGCGGCGUGCCUCAGACAUGCAAGUCGAACGCGAAAGUCCCCUUCGGGGGACAAGUAGAGUGGCGCACGGGUGAGUAACACGUAGGUAAUCUACCUUUGGAUGGGGAAUAACAACCGGAAACGGUUGCUAAUACCGCAUAAUGCAGCGGCACCUAAUGGUGCAGUUGUUAAAGCGGGGGAUCGAAAGACCUCGCGUCUGAAGAGGAGCCUGCGGCGGAUUAGCAGUUGGUAAGGUAAUGGCUUACCAAGGCUACGAUCCGUAACCGGCCUGAGAGGGCGGUCGGUCACACUGACACUGACAUACGGGUCAGACUCCUACGGGAGGCAGCAGUCGGGAAUUUUGGACAAUGGGCGCAAGCCUGAUCCAGCCAUGCCGCGUGCGGGAAG
rnacentral:rRNA from 1 species